rnacentral:rRNA from 1 species
AGUGAACGCUGGCGGUAGGCCUAACACAUGCAAGUCGAACGGCAGCACAGUAAGAGCUUGCUCUUACGGGUGGCGAGUGGCGGACGGGUGAGGAAUACAUCGGAACCUACUUUUUCGUGGGGGAUAACGUAGGGAAACUUACGCUAAUACCGCAUACGACCUACGGGUGAAAGCAGGGGAUCUUCGGACCUUGCGCGAUUGAAUGAGCCGAUGUCGGAUUAGCUAGUUGGCGGGGUAAAGGCCCACCAAGGCGACGAUCCGUAGCUGGUCUGAGAGGAUGAUCAGCCACACUGGAACUGAGACACGGUCCAGACUCCUACGGGAGGCAGCAGUGGGGAAUAUUGGACAAUGGGCGCAAGCCUGAUCCAGCCAUACCGCGUGGGUGAAGAAGGCCUUCGGGUUGUAAAGCCCUUUUGUUGGGAAAGAAAAGCAGCAGGUUAAUACCCCGCUGUUCUGACGGUACCCAAAGAAUAAGCACCGGCUAACUUCG